UACGUAGGGGGCGAGCGUUGUCCGAAUUCACUGGGCGUAAAGCGCGCGUAGGCGGACUUUUAAGUCAGAGGUGAAAUGCCGAGGCUCAACCUCGGAACUGCCUUUGAAACUGGGAGUCUUGAGGUAUGGAGAGGGAAGUGGAAUUCCUGGUGUAGCGGUGAAAUGCGUAGAUAUCAGGAGGAACACCCGUGGCGAAGGCGGCUUCCUGGCCAUAUCCUGACGCUGAGGUGCGAAAGCUAGGGGAGCGAACGGGAUUAGAUACCCCGGUAGUCCUAGCCGUAAACGAUGGAUACUAGGUGUUAGUGGUAUCGACCCCACUAGUGCCGCAGCUAACGCAUUAAGUAUCCCGCCUGGGGAGUACGACCGCAAGGUUGAA
rnacentral:rRNA from 1 species